rnacentral:rRNA from 1 species
ACGAACGCUGGCGGCGUGCCUAAUACAUGCAGGUCGAACGAACCGCGACUAGGUGCUUGCACUUGGUCAAGGUGAGUGGCGAACGGGUGAGUAACACGUGGGUAACCUACCUCAUAGUGGGGGAUAACAGUCGGAAACGACUGCUAAUACCGCAUAGGACAUAGGAUCACAUGAUCCAGUGAGGAAAGGUGGCGCAAGCUAUCGCUAAGAGAUGGACCCGCGGUGCAUUAGCUAGUUGGUAGGGUAAAGGCCUACCAAGGCGAUGAUGCAUAGCCGACCUGAGAGGGUGACCGGCCACAUUGGGACUGAGACACGGCCCAAACUCCUACGGGAGGCAGCAGUAGGGAAUCUUCCGCAAUGGACGCAAGUCUGACGGAGCAACGCCGCGUGAGUGAAGAAGGUCUUCGGAUCGUAAAGCUCUGUUGUUAGAGAAGAACAGCGCAUAGAGUAACUGUUAUGCGUGUGACGGUAUCUAACCAGAAAGCCACGGCUAACUACGUG